rnacentral:lncRNA from 1 species
GGAGAGUCCCUCGCUGUCCCUGUCCCCCGCUUAAUCCUCGGUCCGAAAUAGCCCAAUAGCCCGGGUAAUCCCGGAGCGAGGCGAACGGAGAAUUAACCCAGGCUGCUCAGGAAGACGCGAGAGGCAGAGGCGUCCAGGGGGAGAAAAGAUGCACAUGACCCAGGCUUCUCUCGACCUGCAAGCCCUGACCCCAGGAUCGGGCAUAGUCUUCGCCAGGCUUUGGGGUGAAGCGAAAUCAACUUAAAAUCCUGGCGCACAUCUAGGGGAAUCACAGCGGAAGGAGCUGAUGGGGGCAGUUGGCCCCGGCCAUGCCCAGGGCCCACUUGGUGCCCUCUUUCCAUGCCCCUGCCUACAGAUUGGAGCUGACCUGCAUCUCCAUCUCCACACGGCCUCCUUCCUCUCUGACACUCACCACCCUUUUGUGCAGCAGACAGAGUGCCCGGUUGGUGCCAGGUCAGUGUGGCACUGAGACCUGGAGUGGGAGGAGGGAGGAGGAGGAGAUGCAGCCCUGCCUCUCAGGAGCUUCUGGGAAUGGCCAGGGCAGGCGAUGGCAACUGUGGACAAGGUGCUAAGGCUCUGUGGGGGCCUCUGGGGAGCUUCCCUGCACCCUAGGACCAUGCCCAGCCCUGUCUAGGGUCCACUACUUCCUGGGGCCCUGAGCCAAGGACAAGGCUGUGGUGCCAGGGAGCCCCCGGGGGUGUGGCGGGCAUGACCCAUUACUCUGCUUUUACCAGCUCUGUCCCUGGGCUCUUCUGCCCUGGGCAAUGUGAGACACUCAGAGUGAGCAGGUGACCUCAGGCUUGCCAUCUGCCUCACCUUCCUGGUUUCCCUUGACCUCCAUUCCCGCAUGCUGGGCUGUUCCAGUUCCAGCCAAAUCCCCGGAGCUGGAGGUCACAAGAGAGUCUGCCAUCAGCUGCAAGGCCACAGAAACCACCCCUCUUCCUCACCAGUAGCAGCAAAGCUGUCAGCCCCACCACACGGGAGGCCUCUUCCUCAACAACCAUGGGCAACUCAUUGAUGGACAUCAGCCGUGGCUCUGGAGACCCAAGAAACAAGAGACUGGGCCUACCCACUGGAGUUCUCCUGGAGAGACCAAACCAGAGUGAGUGGGAGCAGGAGGCACAGGACACGGAAGUCACAUGGAGGCUCAUGCUCAAAGGAGCCAUGCUCAAGCCAGUGCUCUGCUGUCUGUCUCGAUGGGCUCAGCUUCUGAACAAGUCAUGGCAUUUUUAUUUUGCACUGGGCCCCCCAAAUCAUGAAGCCAGUCCUGGAGAACAGUGGGGUGCUGGUGAGCAUUUAACGGCAAGAAAAGCCAGGCAUGGUGGUGCGUUCCUAUAGCCCCCUCAGUCUGGGAGGCUGAGGCAGGAAGAUGGCAAGUUCUGCCCAAGCCUGGGGAACUUAGCAAUUCAUCAAGACUUUGUUUCAAAAUCAAAGGCAGGGGGAGAGAGGGUGUUUCAGUGUGAAAGCUCAGAGUUCCAGUCCCAGUACCACAAAAACAACAACAAAACAGCAAGGAUUAAGCACCACUGUCUACCCGUCUGCAUGGUGUAGGUUUUCUCCACCACAGCCAAGUCCAAGCUGCAGUGUGACCUCAGGGACCGUGGCUGGUGGCCAUCGGAGCCUAUGCCAGCAGACUCCAGAUCCCCAGUGAUGUGGGCAUAUAGCAAGUGCCAGCCCCAUUUGAGAGUCAGACUGAACCUGAUAGUGACAAUAAAACAAAGCAAAAGAGCUUCCAUUUGGGUCAAAGAAGACAGAGGGCAGGGAGCAAAGAUCCCACCUGUACACAUCUUCCCGCUCCAGGCUAGGGUGCCAACCUUCCGGCACUCCAUCAGGAGCAAGGACUGCGUCCCUACCCUCCACACAGGCCUGGCUUGGCACAAAGGCCCCGCACGUCCCGCUGGCCACCCCUUUCUGUGAGUUCUGGUGCCACAACCUCUAGUGUCCCUGGCCCGUCAUUGGACCCCACAUGUGCUGAACUCAUGGACCCCACUUCCAAACUCUGGACUCUUAGCCACCCUGGCGUGUCUUAAAGUCCCCCUGCAUGUAAGCUCUUGACUUAGGCACACCCACAAUCAGAACAGCAGCUCAAACAGGUG